rfam:Hordeum vulgare subsp. vulgare, WGS project CAJW01000000 data, contig: morex_contig_1634887
AUACUAUUACCUCCGUCCCAAAUUACUUGACUUACAUUGGUCUAGAUAUGGAUGUAUCUAACACUAAAACAUGUCUAGAUACAUCCUUAUCUAGGACAAGUAAUUCGGGACGGAGGGAGUAUAAG